CCUACGGGGGGCAGCAGUGGGGAAUAUUGCGCAAUGGGCGAGAGCCUGAACCAGCCAAGUCGCGUGAGGGAGUACUGCCCUAUGGGUUGUAAACCUCUUUUGUCGGGGAGCAAAAGCCGGACGUGUCCGGCUGUGAGAGUACCCGAAGAAAAAGCAUCGGCUAACUCCGUGCCAGCAGCCGCGGUAAUACGGAGGAUGCGAGCGUUAUCCGGAUUUAUUGGGUUUAAAGGGUGCGCAGGCGGAUUUUUAAGUCAGCGGUAAAAUCGUGGGGCUCAACCCCAUCCAGCCGUUGAAACUGGGGAUCUAGAGUGUGCGAGAGGUAUGCGGAAUGCGUGGUGUAGCGGUGAAAUGCAUAGAUAUCACGCAGAACCCCGAUUGCGAAGGCAGCAUACCGGUGCACAACUGACGCUCAGGCACGAAAGCGUGGGUAUCGAACAGGAUUAGAUACCCCAGUAGUC
rnacentral:rRNA from 1 species